rnacentral:rRNA from 1 species
GACGAACGCUGGCGGCGUGCUUAACACAUGCAAGUCGAACGGAAAGGCCCUGCUUUUGUGGGGUGCUCGAGUGGCGAACGGGUGAGUAACACGUGAGUAACCUGCCCUUGACUUUGGGAUAACUUCAGGAAACUGGGGCUAAUACCGGAUAGGAGCUCCUGCCGCAUGGUGGGGGUUGGAAAGUUUCGGCGGUUGGGGAUGGACUCGCGGCUUAUCAGCUUGUUGGUGGGGUAGUGGCUUACCAAGGCUUUGACGGGUAGCCGGCCUGAGAGGGUGACCGGCCACAUUGGGACUGAGAUACGGCCCAGACUCCUACGGGAGGCAGCAGUGGGGAAUAUUGCACAAUGGGCGGAAGCCUGAUGCAGCAACGCCGCGUGCGGGAUGACGGCCUUCGGGUUGUAAACCGCUUUCGCCUGUGACGAAGCGUGAGUGACGGUAAUGGGUAAAGAAGCACCGGCUAACUACGUGCCAGCAGCCGCGGUGAUACGUAGGGUGCGAGCGUUGUCCGGAUUUAUUGGGCGUAAAGGGCUCGUAGGUGGUUGAUCGCGUCGGAAGUGUAAUCUUGGGGCUUAACCCUGAGCGUGCUUUCGAUACGGGUUGACUUGAGGAAGGUAGGGGAGAAUGGAAUUCCUGGUGGAGCGGUGGAAUGCGCAGAUAUCAGGAGGAACACCAGUGGCGAAGGCGGUUCUCUGGGCCUUUCCUGACGCUGAGGAGCGAAAGCGUGGGGAGCGAACAGGCCUAGAUACCCUGGUAGUCCACGCUGUAAACGGUGGGUACUAGGUGUGGGGUCCAUUCCACGGGUUCCGUGCCGUAGCUAACGCUUUAAGUACCCCGCCUGGGGAGUACGGCCGCAAGGCUAAAACUCAAAGGAAUUGACGGGGCCCCGCACAAGCGGCGGAGCAUGCGGAUUAAUUCGAUGCAACGCGUAGAACCUUACCUGGGUUUGACAUGGAUCGGGAGUGCUCAGAGAUGGGUGUGCCUCUUUUGGGGUCGGUUCACAGGUGGUGCAUGGCUGUCGUCAGCUCGUGUCGUGAGAUGUUGGGUUAAGUCCCGCAACGAGCGCAACCCUUGUUCACUGUUGCCAGCACGUUAUGGUGGGGACUCAGUGGAGACCGCCGGGGUCAACUCGGAGGAAGGUGGGGAUGACGUCAAGUCAUCAUGCCCCUUAUGUCCAGGGCUUCACGCAUGCUACAAUGGCUGGUACAGAGAGUGGCGAGCCUGUGAGGGUGAGCGAAUCUCGGAAAGCCGGUCUCAGUUCGGAUUGGGGUCUGCAACUCGACCUCAUGAAGUCGGAGUCGCUAGUAAUCGCAGAUCAGCAACGCUGCGGUGAAUGCGUUCCCGGG